AAGUACCUGGGAUGGGUGGGCUCUUUGUUGAACCUUCACGACAUUAAAUGGAAUCCGGGUCAGUCAAUGUAGGUCAAGCCGGUUUAGCCGGACGAUUGAAACUGGUUGCAGGAUACCGCCCUGGCUAUAGCUAGGUGUCAAAAAGGGUUCGUUCAUUCUAGGCUUUUU
rnacentral:sRNA from 1 species